rnacentral:rRNA from 1 species
GUAGGUGGCAAGCGUUAUCCGGAAUUAUUGGGCGUAAAGCGCGCGCAGGCGGUUUCUUAAGUCUGAUGUGAAAGCCCACGGCUCAACCGUGGAGGGUCAUUGGAAACUGGGGAACUUGAGUGCAGAAGAGAAAAGCGGAAUUCCACGUGUAGCGGUGAAAUGCGUAGAGAUGUGGAGGAACACCAGUGGCGAAGGCGGCUUUUUAGGUCUGUAACUGACGCUGAGGCGCGAAAGCGUGGGGAGCAAACAGGGAUUAGAUACCCUGGUAGUCCACGCCGUAAACGAUGAGUGCUAAGUGUUAGAGGGUUUCCGCCCCUUUAGUGCUGCAGCUAACGCAUUAAGCACUCCGGCCUGGGAGUACGGUCGCAAGACUG